AAAAAUAACUUUUAGCACUGGUUCCACACGAAAUCAUAUCGAACUCGAUUGUGACCCUAGUGUUUACCAAAGAUACUGCUUUUCGCGGGAAACAUGGUUCA
rnacentral:rRNA from 1 species